rnacentral:rRNA from 1 species
GAUGAACGCUGGCGGCGUGCCUAAUACAUGCAAGUCGAGCGAACAGACGAGGAGCUUGCUCCUCUGACGUUAGCGGCGGACGGGUGAGUAACACGUGGAUAACCUACCUAUAAGACUGGGAUAACUUCGGGAAACCGGAGCUAAUACCGGAUAAUAUAUUGAACCGCAUGGUUCAAUAGUGAAAGACGGUUUUGCUGUCACUUAUAGAUGGAUCCGCGCCGCAUUAGCUAGUUGGUAAGGUAGCGGCUUACCAAGGCAACGAUGCGUAGCCGACCUGAGAGGGUGAUCGGCCACACUGGAACUGAGACGCGGUCCAGACUCCUACGGGAGGCAGCAGUAGGGAAUCUUCCGCAAUGGGCGAAAGCCUGACGGAGCAACGCCGCGUGAGUGAUGAAGGUCUUCGGAUCGUAAAACUCUGUUAUUAGGGAAGAACAAAUGUGUAAGUAACUAUGCACGUCUUGACGGUACCUAAUCAGAAAGCCACGGCUAACUACGUG